rnacentral:rRNA from 1 species
GUGUCAGCAGCCGCGGUAAUACGUAGGGGGCGAGCGUUGCUCGGAAUUACUGGGCGUAAAGGGUGUGUAGGCGGCCGAUUAAGUCGAAGAUGAAAUCCCGAGGCUCAACUUCGGAAUGGUCUUCGAUACUGAUCGGCUUGAGGCUGGUUGAGGAGAGCGGAAUUCCCGGUGGAGCGGUGAAAUGCGUAGAUAUCGGGAGGAACACCAGAGGCGAAGGCGGCUCUCUAAACUAGUCCUGACGCUGAGACACGAAAGCUAGGGGAGCAAACGGGAUUAGAAACCCCCGUAGUCC